rnacentral:rRNA from 1 species
UUUAGAGGAACCUGCCCUGUAAACGAUGAACCACGGAUUAACUUUACUUUCAUUAGUAAUUCAGUUUGUAUACCGCUGUUGUCAGUUAGUUUCUUUAGAAGAUUUUCUCACAUGGUAAAGCCAUGGACUUCAAGUAAAGGUGCAGCUUAUAUGAGAGAUAGAGGUGGGUUACAUUUAAGAGAAUAAAACGGAUAGAAUAUUUGAAAAAAUUUUUGAAGGUGGAUUUAAAUGUAAAGUUUAAUAAAACUUGAUGAGAGC